rnacentral:tRNA from 1 species
UAGCUUGGUUGUAAAGAACCUGCCUGCAAUGCAGGAGACCCAGGUUCAAUUCCUGG